UACGUAGGGUGCGAGCGUUGUCCGGAAUUACUGGGCGUAAAGAGCUCGUAGGUGGUUUGUCGCGUUGUUCGUGAAAACUCACAGCUUAACUGUGGGCGUGCGGGCGAUACGGGCAGACUGGAGUACUGCAGGGGGAGACUGGAAUUCCUGGUGUAGCGGUGGAAUGCGCAGAUAUCAGGAGGAACACCGGUGGCGAAGGCGGGUCUCUGGGCAGUAACUGACGCUGAGGAGCGAAAGCGUGGGGAGCGAACGG
rnacentral:rRNA from 1 species